UGAGCAAUUUUAGUUUAUCGUUGGCCAUGAAGGGGGGAGGGGCUGUUCCCAGCUCCAAACCCUCGCAGUUGCACUGUUUGAACCUAGUUUAUUCAGCUCCCCUCCCCCACACUAGUUUGAGCACGUGAUCAAUUAGGAGCGCGGUUCAUACAGCAGCAACAAAGCUUUGCAAGAAGAGUUGAGUGUUGCAGUCGUGUCCCCAGAAAAUCUAAUUCGUUUUAUUCUGCUUUGGACAUCGAAACUGUAUAAUACGAAUUGCAUCCAAUAAGUAAAUAAUAAUGAUGUUUCAUCACAAUUCCAUAUUAGCAUUUGGGAAUAAUGUUGCUUUCAGAACAAUUACAAUAUUUUAAGUCGUUUUUAAAAUAUGUGUGUGUAUAUACUGUAUAUAUAUACAGUAUGUAUAUACACACAUUUUAGGAGUACAUGACAUUGGUGUAAACAAGAUUUCAUAAAAUAUGUUGAUAUUGCUUGACAUUUACUAUGCCCCACUUCAAAACGGACCUCAGAGGAAAAGUGAAGGAGUUUUGGUUAUGAAGGGGCGGGGCUGUUUUCACACCCCAAAACGUCACAGUUACGUUGCAGGAAACGAGUUUCUACAGCUACCCUCCCCCACAUCACACUCGCUGACCAUCAAUUAGGAAACGCGCGCUUUGCUACCUGCACAAAAGGAAGGCGUUGAGAAGAGUGAGCGUACGAGUCAGCAUCAUCGAGAAAACCCCAGAAAGUGACAAAUACUUCAGAAUUAAAGCAGAUGGACAAUCCCACUGAAGAUGGUGAUUAUUCUGACUCAAGUCUUUUUGGAUCAGAUGAGGAAUACAAACCAACUAAGACAUCCUCUGAGUCGAGUGAUGACGAGGAGAUAUUCCAUCCAAAGGUAGAAAAAUUGUUCUCUUAUGAUACAUCCAGUGAAGACUCUACAAGUCAUCAGACAUAUGAAGCAGAGGAGCACAGUCAUGUCUGCAAUUCGUAAAGAAGCCCCAAAAAGGGAAAAGCAUCUCUCCAAAAGAGGGAAGACUGAAUUGGAUG